rnacentral:lncRNA from 1 species
UAGUGGGAGUAUCUUUGAGUGUGUAUGUUGAACUUAUAGCUGUCAUAGAAAGUUGAUUUUUUUUAACCAUACCUUGCAGAAGGAGAGAAGAAAGAUGGGUUUUACAGAAGGAAAUAAGUCUGAUAUAUAGACUCAAAGCAAAAUUUCAUUGCCUUUUUACAUCGCCAGGGUUUUGCGUGUAGAUUGUUUUCUCAACUCUAGGAGAACUUAGGAAGUAUGGCUGUGAAAUUCCUACCUUAUCAUCUAUGAAGCCAGUGGCAUGUGUGUUGGGUUUUAUCCACAUUUAUAAGCCUAGUUUGCAACAAUUCUACAUUGUAGAAAACAGAAGGUAAUUAGUUAAACAUAGAAUUUUCAAGGGACAGAGGAAAAAAUGUGGAAUUAACAGCUUUGAAUCUAGUAGCCAGGGUUUUGUGGGUGGGUUCGUGCAGUGAAAAAGAACUUCACGUAAGUGCGAGCAAGUGCACUAUUAGAACACUGAAGUACUAGAAAACAUUAACAAAGAUGUGAAGCUAUACCACGGCAUUGAAAUCCUAGAUCUACUUCGCCCUGGAUAUCAGGAAUGGUGUAGAGAAAUCCAAAUUCAAACAAACCAAACCAGAAUGUUAAAAAAAAUGUUUGCAGCUUUAUGGAUAUCAUAAUGAGAAGACUUAAGCAUGUAACUUCUCCUAUAUCUCUACUGUCCAGCAUGUGUUAUUCCAACUAGGACUCCCUAAAAUACAGACUUUGCAGAAGAUCUAAGCCCUCACUUCAAACCUUUCCACGGGUUGCUGUAUUCUAUUAAGGUCAACAUAAUGUCCCCCCUCUACACAAACAUUAUUCUUCAGUGUAAUUCUUGCCCUAUAAAUUUAUGUUCUCUGGAGGGUGGCAGAAAAUGUACUGGGAGAAUUUUUUCAUAAACUUUGGAAGAAUAGAGGUUAUGCACACAGACAAGACUUUUCAACAGAUUUUAAAUAGAAUAUAUGUAAAGCAACAGAAAUAUAUAUAUAUAUAUAUAUAUAUAUAUAUAUAUAUAUAUGUUGCUCUCUUAGGAAAAGUACAACUAUGUAAAGACACACAUCCAGAAGUUGUAUUUGUUGUCACUGUUGAUCCAACUUGAUUAUAAGUACACCUGUCACUUCCAGGACCAAACAAAUCCCAAGCACAAGGCCUUAUUUUCUUUAAAAAAAUAAAUAAAUAAAGAGGCUUCAACAAAAUGGGUCAUGGGCUCUUUUAAAGGGAAGUGCCUGGAGUUUUUUAGGUGAUAUGUUUACUAAACCAUAAUGCACUGAGGUACACAGGAAGUGUCAUUGGUGGAAAUCACAGUUGCCCAUCUCUCUGAGGAUUUCAUGAUAGAAAUUUAAUCUCAUUAUUUAUGAAAAUAUAAUGCUGAUAUUAAUCUCUAAUAAAAUCCCUUCUCUAUUUUCAGUGGUUGUCCAUUGUUCCUCAUUCAGACACACCUUUGUCCCCAUCCUUUCAAUGGUUAAAACAACACUUUCUAAGCACUCAAUCUGUCUCUAGUUUGCCCUCCAUAUCAUGGUUAGGAAAUGUAGAUGUGUUUUGGAAAUUAACUUUGUAUCAUUUGCAUCCGAUUUUAAGACCAAAUUGAAAGCCUCACAUUCUUAUUAUUCAUAGACGUGAAAAAAAUGUAUAGAGCACAAGGUGGACAUUUGCUCACUCUCUGGUUGCUAUUGAAGUAAAUUGAAAUCAUAAAUAGAACCAAUAUUCACUGUCUUAGGUUUAAAAUACAUGAAGAAAUAUAAAUAUAUAACCAUUCAAUUUCAUUAAAAUGUGGGUCAAUUUCAAUGGUUAUUUUUCAGCUUUAUUCCAAGUAAAAUAUUUUUUCACUGUG